CCUACGGGAGGCAGCAGUGGGGAAUAUUGGGCAAUGGAGGAAACUCUGACCCAGCGACGCCGCGUGCGGGAUGAAGGCCUUCGGGUUGUAAACCGCUUUCAGCAGGGAAGAGGCGAAAGUGACGGUACCUGCAGAAGAAGCACCGGCUAACUAUGUGCCAGCAGCCGCGGUAAUACAUAGGGUGCAAGCGUUGUCCGGAAUUAUUGGGCGUAAAGAGCUCGUAGGUGGUUCGUCACGUCGGAUGUGAAAAUCUGGGGCUUAACCCCAGACCUGCAUUCGAUACGGGCGAGCUUGAGUAUGGUAGGGGAGUCUGGAAUUCCUGGUGUAGCGGUGGAAUGCGCAGAUAUCAGGAGGAACACCAAUGGCGAAGGCAGGACUCUGGGCCAUUACUGACACUGAGGAGCGAAAGCGUGGGGAGCGAACAGGAUUAGAUACCCUGGUAGUCCACGCCGUAAACGGUGGGCACUAGUUGUGGGGACCUUCCACGGUCUCUGCGACGCAGCUAACGCAUUAAGUGCCCCGCCUGGGGNGUACGAUCGCAGAUAAACUACAAGAGUAGUAGACGNGNGAGAGCGACGACGACGACGAGGAGGAG
rnacentral:rRNA from 1 species